rnacentral:pre_miRNA from 1 species
UCUAGAACUCGAGAUAUGGGCUGAACACUGAAUAAUGUCUGGGCUGCAGGAUAGAUUCUGACUUCUCUUUUGAUGCUAAGAUUUGGAUUUCCAAACAGCAUAAUUGCGUCUUGAACUCCCCUGAAUGUUUUAGGCCUAUGUCUUAACUUUCUAGC